rnacentral:rRNA from 1 species
AGAGUUUGAUCCUGGCUCAGAUUGAACGCUGGCGGCAUGCCUUACACAUGCAAGUCGAGCGGCAGCGCGGGGGCAACCCUGGCGGCGAGCGGCGGACGGGUGAGUAAUACAUCGGAACGUGUCCUUUCGUGGGGGAUAACCAGUCGAAAGACUGGCUAAUACCGCAUGAGAUCUCACGAUGAAAGCGGGGGACCGCAAGGCCUCGCGCGAUUGGAGCGGCCGAUGUCGGAUUAGCUAGUUGGCGGGGUAAAAGCCCACCAAGGCUACGAUCCGUAGCUGGUUUGAGAGAACGACCAGCCACACUGGGACUGAGACACGGCCCAGACUCCUACGGGAGGCAGCAGUGGGGAAUUCUGGACAAUGGGCGCAAGCCUGAUCCAGCCAUGCCGCGUGUGUGAAGAAGGCCUUCGGGUUGUAAAGCACUUUCGGCCGGAACGAAAUCGCGCGGGCUAUUACCCCGCGUGGAUGACGGUACCGGAAGAAGAAGCACCGGCUAACUACGUGCCAGCAGCCGCGGUAAUACGUAGGGUGCGAGCGUUAAUCGGAAUUACUGGGCGUAAAGGGUGCGCAGGCGGUUCUGCAAGUCAGGCGUGAAAUCCCCGGGCUUAACCUGGGAAUGGCGCUUGAAACUACGGGACUGGAGUAUGGCAGAGGGAGGUGGAAUUCCACGUAGCGGUGAAAUGCGUAGAGAUGUGGAGGAACACCGAUGGCGAAGGCAGCCUCCUGGGCCAAUACUGACGCUCAUGCACGAAAGCGUGGGGAGCAAACAGGAUUAGAUACCCUAGUAGUCC